UCCCGCGAAGUCGCGUUUCCCGAGAUCGUUUUCGGUAGACACUGAAUAAUGAAUUAAAUUUAAUCAAGAAUGGAUCGCAAGAGAUAUACACUUGGCGGGAUUAAUUCGAAAGAUGAUUUCUUGGUAAACCGACCAAGUUUCGUAAUCGGUGGGAUCUUCCUGCUUUCGAGAAAGCGAGGCGGAUGUCGCCUACGCGGAAAGCGCUCGUAGACUUUAAUAUAGGAAUCGCCAUCGCAUUUAUUGUAAAUUCCGAGAGGUCAUCCUGGGUUUACGAAUGGGCCGGGAAAUGAAGCAAGUACGUGGCGGAGAAGAAAGGCGCAAUUUUACGAGAGGAAGAAAGGCACAGAAUACGGCGUAGAAUUACAAGAGUUGAACACAAAGAGAGGCAAGAAAAAGAAAGCCGAUGAACGCAGAGCAACGACCACCUGAGCCAACAAUAGUCUCCCGUUUAAUCCACUUGAUGCACAGCCGUGCAAUUAUUAACUUUUUAUGCGACUCCCAGCUGCGCUUAAACGCUUCCAACGAAAAAAAAUUCAUUAUCGCGGGAAUAACCGGCGAUUAGAAUUUAUUCUACAAAAUCCAUUGUAUACAUAUAUAUGUAUAUAUAUGUAGAUAAGAAUUAUGCUCAAACAAAUAAAA